rnacentral:rRNA from 1 species
UACGGAAGGUCCGGGCGUUAUCCGGAUUUAUUGGGUUUAAAGGGAGCGCAGGCUGUUGAUUAAGCGUGACGUGAAAUGCCGCGGCUCAACCGUGGAAGUGCGUCGCGAACUGGUCGGCUUGAGUGAGUUCGACGUGCGCGGAAUUCGUGGUGUAGCGGUGAAAUGCUUAGAUAUCACGAAGAACCCCGAUUGCGAAGGCAGCGCACGAGGCCUUAACUGACGCUAAAGCUCGAAGGUGCGGGUAUCGAAC